rnacentral:rRNA from 1 species
AUGUGGACGUCCUCGGCGGCGAAUCACUUGUGCCCUCCGGCUGUAGCGGCUGCCUCCGCCACCGUCCCCGACCAGGCAUCUCCAUGGCCAUGGGCGUCCCUCCACGCGGAUCUGGUUCGCCUGGUCGGCUGGCGAGUGCUGGCGGAAGAUCUGCUCGACUAUGUCCGCUUCCGCGCAGUCUGCACACACUGGCGUUUCAGCACCGUCUGUCCCCGUGGCCGUGGCAUCGUGGAUCCGCGUUUUCACCCAGGCCGAUGGAUGGUGCUGCCCGAGGGACAUGGAUUACACCCCGACGACAAGGCCAAGAGACGCCUAUUCAGCCUCUCCACCGGAGUAUCCGUUUGCCCUCGACUUCCUGAGGAUUAUUGCAUCCUCGACUCGGUCAACGGCAUCCUCCUACUGCAGCGGCGGCAGCAACAACACGAUCAAGGUAGCAUUCGUCUUUUCAACCCCUUCACCGGCGACAUUGGGGAGCUCCCGCCGCUCGGGUCCGUCGUGUCAGACUCGAAACUCCACUUGAGUUUCGAUGAGAUAUCUAGUCAUGUGGUACCUGGCGGCGUGGUCACCUCCUUGAUCGUGAGCUCAGAUGGCGCCGCCGCAGUCAUGAUUUGGCUUGUAGAAUUAUCACGCGUCAUCUUUGCUACCACCAAGGACAGGCAAUGGAGUCAGUCAACUCGAAUGUUCAUUAGGACCAGGAGGCCGAUAUCAUUCCAAGGAAAAUUAUACAUCUUAUGUUAUGACCUACCUAGCCAUGCACUACAAGUUCUCCAAAUGGGCCCACCUGUGUAUGAGCAUGGGACAACCUUGGGGUUAGGUUCAUCUUUCUUGCCGACAUCAAAGUUGAUUGCCACAUGUCCAACGAUAAAAAUGUCCGACGGUAUUGGCCUAGCAGAAUGUGACUCCGAGAUUUUGGUCAUAGCCUACAAAGAUUCUACACACACGCAUAUGGUGGUUUAUAGAGUACCUGAUCUUAUGCUCGGCAAGGUUAUCCCGGUGACAGACAUCGGAAGCAAAUCUGUCUUCUUUGAUACCAAAACAAUAAGUCUUGGACCUGACCAAGAACUAGCCCUUGCAGUAGUUUUCUCUAUUUCUGAAUGCGCAUGA